UUGUGGAGUUGCUCCUGGGCAAUUGAUAGGUUCUUCUUGGUGGACCUUGAUGAUAUAUUUUGUUAGAUUGGCAGUUACAUGUAUAAGCUACCUCUGGAAACGUAUUUAGAAGGAUAUAGGUAGUAACUCCUUCUAGUGAAACAAAUCAGAAAGGAUUCAAAGUGUUUACUACUUGGAAGGGAAAGAAAGUCAUCGUUGAUAUUACCACCAACAAUUUGCGUUUGAUAAGGGACAAAUAUAUCAAGAUUGAACAAACCUGUGGUGGGGAUUUGUUUUUCCCUUUAGCCUGAGUGAAA
rnacentral:lncRNA from 1 species